GAGGGUAUGGCUCAGUAGUAAAGCGAAUGCUUAGCAUGCAUGAGGUCCUGGGCUGGAUCCCCAGUACCUCUG
rnacentral:tRNA from 1 species